GACGAACGCUGGCGGCGUGCUUAACACAUGCCAGUCGAACGGAAAGGCCCUGCUUUUGUGGGGUGCUCGAGUGGCGAACGGGUGAGUAACACGUGAGUAACCUGCCCUUGACUUUGGGAUAACUUCAGGAAACUGGGGCUAAUACCGGAUAGGAGCUCCUGCUGCAUGGUGGGGGUUGGAAAGUUUCGGCGGUUGGGGAUGGACUCGCGGCUUAUCAGCUUGUUGGUGGGGUAGUGGCUUACCAAGGCUUUGACGGGUAGCCGGCCUGAGAGGGUGACCGGCCACAUUGGGACUGAGAUACGGCCCAGACUCCUACGGGAGGCAGCAGUGGGGAAUAUUGCACAAUGGGCGGAAGCCUGAUGCAGCAACGCCGCGUGCGGGAUGACGGCCUUCGGGUUGUAAACCGCUUUCGCCUGUGACGAAGCGUGAGUGACGGUAGUGGGUAAAGAAGCACCGGCUAACUACGUG
rnacentral:rRNA from 1 species